AUGGGUAACUGCUGGUUUCGGGGGAGUUCCUACAUUAACAGGGUCUCCACUGCAAAGUCAGAGACUCCCAAGAUCCAGAGCCCGUCGGAGAGGGACCGGAGCGAUGAGAGUAGGCUGCCGUCGAACGCGAGGGAGGUGGAGGCCAUGCGGCUCGACUCGGCCGCGCGGAACCCGCUGACCGCCUUCUCUUUCGAGGAGCUCCGGAAGGUGACCAACGGGUUCCGGCAGGACUCGCUAAUCGGCGGCGGCGGCUUCGGCAGGGUGUACAAGGGCGCCGUGGGUACGGACGGCCCCGGAGACGAGCCCCUGCUGGUCGCCGUCAAGGUGCACGACGGAGAUAACAGCUUCCAGGGCCACAGGGAAUGGCUGGCGGAGGUGAUCUUCUUGGGCCACCUGUCACACCCGAACCUGGUGAAGCUAGCGGGCUACUGUUGUGAGGGCGAGCACCGGAUGCUGGUCUACGAGUACAUGCCGCUCGGCAGCGUGGAGUCACACCUCUUCUCACGGGUGAUGGCGCCCCUGGCGUGGGCGACGAGGAUGAAGAUCGCGUUGGGCGCGGCGAGGGGCCUGGCGUUCCUCCAUGAGGCCGAGAAGCCUGUCAUCUACCGCGAUUUCAAGACCUCCAACAUCCUCCUCGACCAUGACUUCAACGCCAAGCUCUCCGACUUCGGCCUCGCCAAGGACGGCCCCAUCGGCGACAUGUCCCACGUCUCCACCCGCAUCAUGGGCACCUAUGGCUAUGCCGCCCCAGAGUACAUCAUGACAGGGCACCUGACGGCGAUGAGCGACGUAUACAGCUACGGGGUGGUGCUGCUGGAGCUGGUAACUGGGCGCAAGUCGCUGGACAAGUCGCGGCCGGUGAGGGAGCAGACGCUGGCGGACUGGGCGUUGCCGAUGCUGACGCACAAGAAGAAGGUGUUGGGGAUCCUAGACGCAAGGCUCGGCUCUGACGACUACCCCGUCAGGUCCGUGCAGAAGGCGGCCAUGCUCGCGUACCACUGCCUCAGCAGCAAUCCCAAGGCGCGGCCGCUCAUGCGCGACAUCGUCGCCUCCCUCGAGCCGCUGCAGCAACUGGAGCUCAUUCCCGCCAACGUGUGA
rnacentral:rRNA from 1 species